CAUGAAGCUGGAAUCGCUAGUAAUCGCGAAUCAGAAUGUCGCGGUGAAUACGUUCCCGGGUCUUGUACACACCGCCCGUCACACCAUGGGAGUCGGAUAUGCCCGAAGCCAGCGGCCCAACCGCGAGGAGGGAGCUGUCGAAGGCGGGUCCGGUGACCGGGGUGAAGUCGUAACAAGGUACC
rnacentral:rRNA from 1 species